GUGCUAUCUUCACUCAAUUGAUGAUGGCUUUUCAUAGCCACGGUGCACGCGCGUGACCUAUAGGGUGAACUUACUCAAAUAAGAUGAAAACUCAGAGUAGCGAUUUUCUGAGUAAAUCAACUCAGAGUUCAGAUUUAAACUCGGUGUUGGUUGAACUUCCUUAUUGAAACGGGCCCUGGUGUUGACUUAACCACUGCUGGUGUGCAUUUCCUCUUGUUUAUAUUUGAAAAGUCUUUGAAAGUUUAAUGCCGGGACACUUAACCCCGAAACUGCGCACUGUCCGGCGCACAUCACCAUGCGCUCAUUGACUUCAAAUGCGCCAUGGAGUUUUCAAAGCGAUGAUUGGAGUCGGGAAACAGAAGUCACUGUUGUCAAGGCGUUGACUGCGACCGUUCAUUCACAAUCUACAGAGAGCAUUUGAAUCGUGUGUCGGAUGAAGUGGGCGUCACCAAGAGAGCUCAAGAGAAAGUCUGUCUGCGGACCUGCGAUUCCACAUGAAUGAGUCAAGUGAAGAACGUGCGUGAUUUCAGACGAGGGAAAACGAUAAAGAAGGGUGCUUUUUGAAUAUUCACAGAGGAACUUGCCCGUGCGCAUUUGCGCAGACUCUCCAAAGUCCCUUGGUAACUUGCGCACAAGCGCAGCUCGAGUCUCUGGGUCACCCUGGAGAAGACCGUAAACGAUGACUCCCGUUCCUGCAACUGUGACAUCUGACAUGGAGAGUGAUGCGCGCGUGAUGUCCGUGAGCUGAAAGUUUUUAUGCUGCCUUCAAAUCCUCAUGAGAAGUGACAAAAUUAUAUUGUGGGUGGAAAAAUAUGGACAAGGACUUUUGAGAAGUAGUGAAAGAUGUGUUGUUGUGAAGUGUUUAAAUGCUUUGUAUCGAAAGUUGACUUUGUAUCGAAAGUAGACUUGAACGAGCUGAUGGAGACUCACCUGUCAUGUAGGGCUGGAUGUACACGUUCAAUUUGAUAUCUCGAUUUUUUUUUAAAUUAAAACUUUUGAAAAUGAAUUAUAUAUGUGUAGAGUUUGUUUACAAAAUGAGAUAACUCUGUUCAAACAUCAUUUUUAUUUAGUCAUUAUGGCUUAAAUCAAAACAAUCCAACUCUUGUUUAUUAAACUCUUGAUAUUCAUUGGAAUGCACAAUAAAAAACAGGAUUUUUGAAAACUCUUAAAAGCAGAGUUAUCUCUUUUUGGGAAAAAAUCAUCAUGUGACGCAGUUUGUGAAAACAAGGACACUAGUUUUGAGAUUAAGAGGAUCAAUUUGUGAUUUCAAGCAUUCAUUUCUCAAUGUUUUUUCCAUUUUUAAACAAGACCUUACUCGGUCAAAAGGCUGAUAAACAUAUAUAGAUUAUAGAUGGUUUCAUUGGAGGCACGUGCUUGGUUGAAGUGAAAGGAAUACUUCACCCAAAAAUAAAAAUCUAUAGAUAAAAAUCUAACUAUAGUUUAAUAUUAAUUUAUAUCAAUGCUUUGUUUUAUAAUAAUUAUAUUGCAUGAACUCUUUGUUGAAUUUAAUCGUAUAUUAAUUUGAUUAAAUAAACAAUUUGUUGAAUUGGACUAGACUGUCUAGACAUGUUUUUAUCUUGCUAGCUAAUGUCAUUUACCUUGCAGAAAUAAGCAACAAAUAUUCUUUGCGGGUGUGUAUACCAGAAGUUAAGUUUGGGCCACUGAAGCGAACAUGCGCAGUAACAUUUGUUCACGUUGUUUCUUUGAAACCGUCUUUAUUUUCUCCAAAUGUUCUUUACAGGAUGAUUUUAUGUAGGAAACAGUAGAUCACAAACAAAAAAUGACUUGAGCUGGGUUUUCCUAGGCAGGGUCAUAAAUAUCUCAAUGUUAAAACAUUUAGUGACAAAACAAAGGACGAUGCAAAAGCCUCUUAGUGGAUCUGACUUUUCUACCUUUCUUCUUAAAUGAUUGUUUUCAUCAGGCUCUUGUGUUUAUAUCAAACUUUAGUUCACUUUAAUGGCAAAGAGGACAUAUUCUUUCCUAUUACAUUGAAAUCACUUAAUCUAAACACAAGGAGUCUAAUAAAAACACUCAAAAAACACUUUUGCAUCUGCAGUCUUCAAAUGUUCAUAUGUGAUCAUGUUAUUUUGUUGUAAUUGUAAAUAAGUGAAAUUGCUUUUUUGUGUUUUUUUUGGCCACUUUAUCUUAAUUUUAAACAGUAUUCAGUUUUAUAUUUUCCGCACAAUUCUUAAUAAUAUUUAAUAUUCACUAGAUAUCACCCAGCCCUUCUGUUGGAGCACUUUUCAUGCAGCGUGAUUGUGUCUAUAGUUGCCACAUUGCUAUUGUAAAAAUGCAACAGUUUCCUAUUAUUACUAUGAAUGCUUUUCAUUGUUUAUUGAAUAUUCAUUUAUGAAUUCAAUGAUUCACUUGAAGCUGUGCAUUGCCAUUGAUUUUACUGUGGUAAAGUAGAUAUCGGGUGCUUUUUGUUUUAGUGCCAAAGAAAACCACCUGACACCCCCAAUGGAAACGCACAGCGCCAAUGUGGUGCUCAAAUAGUCAUUACUGAAGUCACAUCAUCGUUUGAUUGUAAUUUUGUUUAUUGUCUAAAUAUCUUUGGGUUUGUAAAGGCAAACAGCAGGCCAGCUGUACCUGAGCAUCACUAUUGCUGAAUGCUUAUCAUUGGCAAUAAAUGUUUCCCUGAAAAACA